AACGAACGCUGGCGGCAUGCCUAACACAUGCCAGUCGAACGACACCUCCGUAUCUACUUGCUCACGCGUGCGUAACGCGUGGGAAGCGGCCCUUAUGCUCGGAAUAACUCUCCUAAGGGGGUGCUAAUGCCGGAUAAUGUCUUCUGACCAAAGAUUUAUCGACUUUGUAUGGGCCCGCGUUGGUUGAGCUAGGUGGUAGGGUAAAAGCCUACCAAGGCUACGAUCCUUAGCUGGUCUGAGAGCCUGAUCAGCCACACUGAGACUGAGACACGGCCCAGACUCCUACGGGAGGCAGGAGUGGGGAAUAUUGGAAAAUGGGCGAAGGCAUGAUCCAGCAAUGCCGCGUGAGUGAUGAAGGUGUUAGGGUUGUAAAGCUCGUUUACCCGGGAUGAUAAUGACAGUACCGGGAGAAUAAGCUCCGGCUAACUCCGUG
rnacentral:rRNA from 1 species